rnacentral:rRNA from 1 species
AGCGAACGCUGGCGGCAGGCCUAAAACAUGCAAGUCGAGCGCCCGUAGCAAUACGGGAGCGGCAGACGGGUGAGUAACACGUGGGAACGUACCCUUUGGUUCGGAACAACCCAGGGAAACUUGGGCUAAUACCGGAUAAGUCCGCGAGGAGAAAGAUUUAUCGCCGAAGGAUCGGCCCGCGUCUGAUUAGCUUGUUGGUGAGGUAACGGCUCACCAAGGCGACGAUCAGUAGCUGGUCGAGAGGAUGAUCAGCCACACUGGGACUGAGACACGGCCCAGACUCCUACGGGAGGCAGCAGUUAGGAAUCUUGGACAAUGGGCGCAAGCCUGAUCCAGCCAUGCCGCGUGAGUGAUGAAGGCCUUAGGGUUGUAAAGCUCUUUCAGCGGGGAAGAUAAUGACGGUACCCGCAGAAGAA